UAUUAGUCAAUGCUCGCAAGAGUGAACUAGCUAACUGAAAUCAUAUAAGUGUCUUAUGUGAUGUCGUAAGGGAAAAUAAUGAUAUUACCUUACUAAUAGUGUCGUCUAAAACUGGUGCCAGAAGACUCGGUAAGGCCAGAGACACGAAUGUUAAUCGUCUUAAUCAGGCGUAAAGGGUUUGUAGGCUGCUUUGAAAGUACUGAUUUAAUAUAGCUAUUAUAGCUCAGUAUCAAUUAAAGCUAGAAUCUAAGAGAGGAUAUUUACGAUAUAAUGCUUGGUCGAGGGCUGAUAUCCAUAGACACCAAGUGGAAUACAAGUGGCGUAAGCAUUUAUCCAAUAAAGAUUGACGCUGAGACACGAAAGUGAGGAUAGGAAAUAGGAUUAGAUACCCAGGUACCCCUCUCUGUCAACGAUGAAUGGUAAUUAGUAGUUGUAAUAGAACUAGUGAUGAAGUUAACACGUUAACCAUUCCGCCUUGUGAGUACGGCUGCAAAGUUGAAAACAAAAAAAUUAGUCGGUCUUGGAGCAAACGAAGUGAAGUAUGUUAUUUAAU
rnacentral:rRNA from 1 species